rnacentral:rRNA from 1 species
UACGGAGGGAGCUAGCGUUAUUCGGAAUUACUGGGCGUAAAGCGUACGUAGGCGGCUUUGUAAGUAAGAGGUGAAAGCCCGGAGCUCAACUCCGGAACUGCCUUUUAGACUGCAUCGCUUGAAUCCAGGAGAGGUGAGUGGAAUUCCGAGUGUAGAGGUGAAAUUCGUAGAUAUUCGGAAGAACACCAGUGGCGAAGGCGACUCACUGGACAUGUAUUGACGCUGAGGUGCGAAAGCGUGGGGAGCAAACAGG